rnacentral:rRNA from 1 species
UGGGGAAUAUUGGACAAUGGGCGAAAGCCUGAUCCAGCCAUGCCGCGUGUGUGAAGAAGGCCUUUUGGUUGUAAAGCACUUUAAGCGAGGAGGAGGCUACUUGGAUUAAUACUCUAGGAUAGUGGACGUUACUCGCAGAAUAAGCACCGGCUAACUCUGUGCCAGCAGCUGCGGUAAUACAGAGGGUGCGAGCGUUAAUCGGAUUUACUGGGCGUAAAGCGUGCGUAGGCGGCUUUUUAAGUCGGAUGUGAAAUCCCUGAGCUUAACUUAGGAAUUGCAUUCGAUACUGGGAAGCUAGAGUAUGGGAGAGGAUGGUAGAAUUCCAGGUGUAGCGGUGAAAUGCGUAGAGAUCUGGAGGAAUACCGAUGGCGAAGGCAGCCAUCUGGCCUAAUACUGACGCUGAGGUACGAAAGCAUGGGGAGCAAACAGG